UGGAAUGGCUUGCAAAGUGAGAUAAGAAUGGAAUCUCUCAAAAAAAAAAAUUGAGAGAACACGUCUUGCACAGCGUAAAAGUAAACUUCUCUUUUUAGGGCAAAUUUUAAUUUCUUCUUUUCCCUUUCAUUAGUAUUUCCAUUUCUUUGCAAAUCAGUGAAUCCAAAUCGGUGACUCACUCGUCUUUCCCUCUUCAACAACGGUAAAGCUGCUGAAACAAACACAGCGCAAAGGUGUGAAGAUUAACCCUAUUCCUCUCAACAACUUCACCACUCAGAGUUUUAACCAAAUGGAAGGAGAAUGGGAGAGAGAAUUGACUGAGAUGCUUCAAGAUAUGAAAGUUCCAUCCAUGGAAGAACUCCAAAUGCAAUGCAUUUAUAGGGUACCACAAACUAUUCGUGAAGAUAAUCCCAAAGCUUACACACCUCAAAUUCUUUCAAUUGGCCCUUAUCAUCACAACAGUUUUAAGACAAUGGAAAACCUCAAACUGAUAUAUCUCAAAGAAUUUCUAAAUAGAUGUCAAUUAUCAGUGGAAUAUUUCGUCCAGUUACUCAAAAGUUCGGAAGAAAGAAUUCGAAGUUAUUACGCAGCACCCAUUAAUGGUGAUGAUUUUAGUUGAUGCUUGCUUCAUAAUUGAGUUUUUUCUAAGAUUCAAUUAUGACGGUCCUUUCUUGCUAGAACCAUGGAUGGAAGAGUAUAUUUCCGUUGACUUGAUACUAAUGGAAAAUCAACUUCCAUUUUUUGUUCUUGAACAACUUUACAGCGUCACUGGUAAAUAAGGAGAUGGAUCGUUACAAGAAACAAGACGUUGAUGAUUGUAUCUGAUUUUGUCUAAGUUGUAUUUGUAAGAGAACCUUGUAAGGUGAUUUACUUUGCUGUUUCUUUUCUUUCAUCAAAAUCAUUCAUUUC